rnacentral:misc_RNA from 1 species
AAGUCGUAACAAGGUUUCCGUAGGUGAACCUGCGGAAGGAUCAUUAAAAGUGCCCCGGCCUAAUACAUAUGGUCUGGCGGACUACACCACUGUCCUGCCCCUUCGUAUCUUCGGAUGCUAGGGGGUAAGGUUAUUGUGUCUACCCAUUGUGAAACUUCUACCUUUGCUUCGGCAGCACUCUCAGCGAAAGCUGGAGGGGUAAGGCUGUCAGAAGCCCAUAUCAAACUAGUUGAUGAAAUGUCAUGCAGUCUGAUACUUUUAUAUUUGAGAAAUCAAAUUGACCUUAAAACUUUCAGCAACGGAUCUCUUGGUUCUC